rnacentral:rRNA from 1 species
UGCGACCCCAGGNCAGGCGGGA